UGUGAGCCUUGAUUCCGGGACCAGCAAGAGCUUAAGGUCACUUGCUUAAAUGCACAGUCAUAGAGGCACAGCCUCAAACUGGUAGAAAUCAGAUUACCUUGAUGCAGAAUUCAUGACUUGGAAACUGAAAGUCUCUCUGAGGUUGGAAUUGAUCCACAGUUACUACAGUAAUUCUGCAACCAGGUAUAAAGAUUCAGGACUAUUCCAAAGACUACGAAUUUCUGGGCGGCCUUUUCAGCAUGGUUCUCCAAUACAUCCGGAGAUCUCUGGAGAAGAAAACAGACCUUGGGUCGAGCUUCACCUGCCCUUGUGGCCUUGCAGGAGCUAG
rnacentral:lncRNA from 13 species